rnacentral:misc_RNA from 1 species
GGUUUCGCCUCAAAAGAUACCAGUUGGGGCAACAAUCAAAAAGGAAACUGGAACACCAAUGAAGGAAGCCAGCCUUGGGCCACACCAAAAUCAUCUGAUGGCAAUCAGCCCACUGGUUGGAACCAAGAAGCCUCCUUUAAAGAUAAAGGGAAUGGAGGUACUGACGGAGUUGGUAGCAGCUGGGGUGGUGCAAAUCCCAAUUCAUC